rnacentral:rRNA from 1 species
AGCAGUGGGGAAUAUUGCACAAUGGGCGAAAGCCUGAUGCAGCUAUGCCGCGUGUAUGAAGAAGGCCUUAGGGUUGUAAAGUACUUUCAACAAGAAAGAAAAGAUAAAAUCUAAUACAUUUUAUUAUUGACGUUACUUGUAAAAGAAGCACCGGCUAACUCCGUGCCAGCAGCCGCGGUAAUACGGAGGGUGCAAGCGUUAAUCGGAAUUACUGGGCGUAAAGAGCACGUAGGCUGUUAAUUAAGUCAGGUGUGAAAUCCCUAAGCUUAACUUAGGAACUGCAUUUGAAACUGAUUAACUUGAGUUUCGUAGAGGGGGGUAGAAUUCCAGGUGUAGCGGUGAAAUGCGUAGAUAUCUGGAGGAAUACCAGUGGCGAAGGCGACCCCCUGGACGAAUACUGACGCUCAGGUGCGAAAGCAUGGGGAGCAAACAGGAUUAGAUACCCUGGUAGUCCAUGCCGUAAACGAUGUCGACUUGAAGGUUGUAAGCUUGACUUAUAGCUUUCGUAGCUAACGCGUUAAGUCGACCGCCUGGGGAGUACGACCGCAAGGUUAAAACUCAAAUGAAUUGACGGGGGCCCGCACAAGCGGUGGAGCAUGUGGUUUAAUUCGAUGCAACGCGGNNNNNNNNNNNNNNNNNNNNNNNNNNNNNNNNUUAAUAGAGAUANNNNAGUGCCUUCGGGAACCAUGAGANNNGUGCUGCAUGGCUGUCGUNAGCUCGUGUUGUGAAAUGUUGGGUUAAGUCCCGCAACGAGCGCAACCCUUAUCCUUUGUUGCCAUCAGUUCGGCUGGGAACUCAAAGGAGACUGCCGGUGAUAAACCGGAGGAAGGUGAGGACGACGUCAAGUCAUCAUGGCCCUUACGACCAGGGCUACACACGUGCUACAAUGGUAUAUACAAAGGGAAGCAUCCUCGCAAGAGUAAGCGAAUCUCACAAAAUAUAUCUUAGUUCGGAUUGGAGUCUGCAACUCGACUCUAUGAAGUCGGAAUCGCUAGUAAUCGUAGAUCAGAAUGCUACGGUGAAUACGUUCCCGGGCCUUGUACACACCGCCCGUCACACCAUGGAAGUGGGUUGUAAAAGAAGCAAGUUGCUUAACCUUUAU